AACGAACGCUGGCGGCGUGCUUAACACAUGCAAGUCAAGGAGAAAGUCUCUUCGGGGGCGAGUAAACUGGCGCACGGGUGAGUAACGCGUGAGGAACCUGCCCAUAUGUCUGGGAUAACCUGCUGAAAAGCGGGCUAAUACUGGAUAUAUUGUUUACCGCAUGGUGGACAAGGAAAGUUGGUGUAAGCUAACGCAUAUGGAUGGUCUCGCGUCUGAUUAGCUAGUUGGUGGGGUAAAGGCUCACCAAGGCUACGAUCAGUAGCCGGUCUGAGAGGGUGGCCGGCCACACUGGGACUGAGACACGGCCCAGACUCCUACGGGAGGCAGCAGUGGGGAAUUUUGCACAAUGGGGGCAACCCUGAUGCAGCGACGCCGCGUGAACGAGGAAGGCCUUCGGGUCGUAAAGUUCUUUCGACGGGGAAGAAAUGUUAUACGAGUAACUGCGUAUAAUUUGACGGUACCUGUAGAAGCAGCCCCGGCUAACUCCGUG
rnacentral:rRNA from 1 species